UGGGGAAUAUUGCACAAUGGGCGCAAGCCUGAUGCAGCAACGCCGCGUGAGGGACGACGGCCUUCGGGUUGUAAACCUCUUUUAGUAGGGAAGAAGCGAAAGUGACGGUACCUGCAGAAAAAAGCACCGGCUAACUACGUGCCAGCAGCCGCGGUAAUACGUAGGGUGCGAGCGUUGUCCGGAAUUAUUGGGCGUAAAGAGCUCGUAGGCGGUCUGUCGCGUCUGCUGUGAAAACCCGAGGCUCAACCUCGGGCCUGCAGUGGGUACGGGCAGACUAGAGUGCGGUAGGGGAGAAUGGAAUUCCUGGUGUAGCGGUGGAAUGCGCAGAUAUCAGGAGGAACACCGAUGGCGAAGGCAGUUCUCUGGGCCGUAACUGACGCUGAGGAGCGAAAGCGUGGGGAGCGAACAGGAUUAGAUACCCUGGUAGUCCACGCCGUAAACGUUGGGCGCUAGAUGUGGGGACCAUUCCACGGUUUCCGUGUCGCAGCUAACGCAUUAAGCGCCCGCCUGGGGAGUACGGCCGCAAGGCUAAAA
rnacentral:rRNA from 1 species